GUGUUGUGGGAGGGACCCAGUGGGAGAUGACUGAAUCAUGGGGGUGGUCUUUCCCAUGCUGUCCUCAUGAUAGUGAAUAAGUCUCACUAGAUCCGAUGGUUUUAAAAGUGGGAGUGUCCCUGCACAGCCUCUCUUUUUUUGCCUGCUGCUAUCCAUGUAAGAUGUGACUUGCUCCUUUUUGCCUUCAGCCAUGUUUGUGAGGCCUCCCCAGCCACGUGGAACUGUUACAUGAAGUUCGGAUCCAGCCUUCCCUAACCAAAGAUGGUGUCUUUUCUGCCCUAAAGAUGGCAGAGUUGGAGUUCCCCCAGUUUGAAACCCUUCAUCUAGGAUAUGUAGAUGAGUUUUUGCUACAGAGCAGAAUGGCUAAUGCGGAUCUGGUGAAGUAUGGUUUGGCUGAUGUGGUAGAAAAUCCUGGUAUCAUCACUGAUAUAGGGAUGAAAGCAGUCAAUGAAGUUUUUUCCUGUAUCAAAUAUCUGGCAAUUUACAAUUGCCCUCAUCUACACAACCCAUACAAUUGGAUCUCAG
rnacentral:sRNA from 1 species